AUUGAACGCUGGCGGCAUGCCUUACACAUGCAAGUCGAACGGUAACAGGUCUUCGGAUGCUGACGAGUGGCGAACGGGUGAGUAAUACAUCGGAACGUGCCUAGUAGUGGGGGAUAACUACUCGAAAGAGUGGCUAAUACCGCAUGAGAUCCACGUAUGAAAGCAGGGGAUCGCAAGACCUUGUGCUACUAGAGCGGCCGAUGGCAGAUUAGGUAGUUGGUGGGAUAAAAGCUUACCAAGCCGACGAUCUGUAGCUGGUCUGAGAGGACGAUCAGCUACACUGGGACUGAGACACGGCCCAGACUCCUACGGGAGGCAGCAGUGGGGAAUUUUGGACAAUGGGCGCAAGCCUGAUCCAGCAAUGCCGCGUGCAGGAUGAAGGCCUUCGGGUUGUAAACUGCUUUUGUACGGAACGAAAAGCCCCGGGUUAAUACCCUGGGGUCAUGACGGUACCGUAAGAAUAAGCACCGGCUAACUACGUGCCAGCAGCCGCGGUAA
rnacentral:rRNA from 1 species